UACAGAGGUCCCAAGCGUUGUUCGGAUUCACUGGGCGUAAAGGGUGCGUAGGUGGCGAGGUAAGUCGGAUGUGAAAUCUCCAAGCUUAACUUGGAAAUGGCAUUGGAAACUACCUGGCUUGAGGUUUGGAGGGGGGACUGGAAUACUUGGUGUAGCAGUGAAAUGCGUAGAUAUCAGGAGGAACACCGGUGGCGAAGGCGCACAUCUGGCCCGAUACUGACGCUGAGGCGCGAAAGCUAGGGGAGCAAACGGG
rnacentral:rRNA from 1 species